CUGCAUACCUUCAAAGCAUACGGGGUGAGUUGGGCCGGGCAUGCUCCAAACCAGUGACACAGCUCUUCCGCUAAAGGAUAAAUCGGAAGGGUGUAUCCAAUUCGGAAGGCGUACUCGUAGAAGGCACAGUACCCCGUCCUAGGCACGUUAGCAUAGUCUGGCCACGCGGGAACCAUGUCAACGUGAUCGGGAAUAUCGUACCACUCCCUCAGAGAGGCCAAGUGGGACAGCAUCAUCUCACUAUGCUCCCAAGGGAGGAGUUUACGCUUAUUCAGAAAGUCGC
rnacentral:lncRNA from 1 species